CGCGGCCUAUCAGCUUGUUGGUGAGGUAAAGGCUCACCAAGGCGACGACGGGUAGCCGGCCUGAGAGGGCGACCGGCCACACUGGGACUGAGACACGGCCCAGACUCCUACGGGAGGCAGCAGUAGGGAAUAUUGGGCAAUGGGCGAAAGCCUGACCCAGCGACGCCGCGUGAGGGAUGAAGGUCUUCGGAUUGUAAACCUCUUUCAGUAGGGAAGAAGCGAAAGUGACGGUACCUAAAGAAGAAGCACCGGCUAACUAUGUGCCAGCAGCCGCGGUAAUACAUAGGGUGCAAGCGUUGUCCGGAAUUAUUGGGCGUAAAGAGCUCGUAGGUCGUUUGUCGCGUCGAUUGUGAAAAUCUGAGGCUCAACCUCAGACCUGCAGUCGAUACGGGCAAACUAGAGUGUGGUAGGGGAGACUGGAAUUCCUGGUGUAGCGGUGGAAUGCGCAGAUAUCAGGAGGAACACCAAUGGCGAAGGCAGGUCUCUGGGCCAUAACUGACACUGAGGAGCGAAAGUGCGGGGAGCGAACAGGAUUAGAUACCCUGGUAGUCCGCACCGUAAACGGUGGGCACUAGUUGUGGGAACCUUCCACGGUUUCCGCGACGCAGCAAACGCAUUAAGUGCCCCGCCUGGGGAGUACG
rnacentral:rRNA from 1 species